AUGAACUGUGAAAACAUUGUUGAAACCCUUGGUGAUCGAAAGAAGACCCAUGUUAACAUUGACAGUGCAUUUCGUUUAGCUCCCACGCAAACCUCACCAAAUGAAACCAUCCGAAACAAAGAGUGGGUGCAAAGAGAGACCGGGGGAAUCCAAGAGAAGUAACCAAAAAGUACGUGCACCGUGAAAAUGGAAAUGGGUUGGAAAGUCUCAAACAAAAGAAAGUCAUCGAAGGGAGUGCGAAGAAAUAAAAGAAUACAUGGAACGCCUGGUGAUGAAGCGAUACAGUGCUGUUAAACGAAGAGCGUUAGUCAGAGAGGGAGACAUUCAAUGGAGUUAAUCUGUGUCGCAGUGCGAAUAGCGAUAAUCCCACCCCGUAGAUGAACGUUAGGAAUGGUCACAUUGAGGAGCUGAUCUGUUUACAUUGGACGAGGACGUACGGGAUACGGAACAGCCAGAAGAAGACAGAACAAGGACAGAGAGACAAGAGCACAACACAACAAACUGGGCCCGGCGACGGUGACUGAUGGUAUUUCAGGCAUUAGCCCUUUCUCAUGUCCGGUGUUUCGGAUACAAGUAUAGUAUAAUCGGAAAGAAGUGGAUACUGAAACUUUUCAUGGCGAGUUAAGAAUCUGGUUUGACUCGAAUGAAGCUUUAGUACCUGCGUCUAGGAUGAUGUCUCCUACGUCACCCUCCCUGUCAUCGUCAUCAUCAAAGUCACCGCCGAC